rnacentral:rRNA from 1 species
UACAGAGGUGGCAAGCGUUGUUCGGAAUUACUGGGCGUAAAGGGCGAGUAGGCGGCCUUCUAAGUCAGACGUGAAAUCCCCCGGCUUAACCUGGGAACUGCGUCUGAUACUGGGAGGCUAGAGUAUGGGAGAGGGAUGUAGAAUUCCAGGUGUAGCGGUGAAAUGCGUAGAUAUCUGGAGGAAUACCGGUGGCGAAGGCGGCAUCCUGGACCAUUACUGACGCUGAAUCGCGAAAGCUAGGGGAGCAAAC